rnacentral:rRNA from 1 species
GUGGGGAAUAUUGGACAAUGGGCGAAAGCCUGAUCCAGCCAUGCCGCGUGUGUGAAGAAGGUCUUCGGAUUGUAAAGCACUUUAAGUUGGGAGGAAGGGCAGUAAGUUAAUACCUUGCUGUUUUGACGUUACCGACAGAAUAAGCACCGGCUAACUUCGUGCCAGCAGCCGCGGUAAUACGAAUGGUGCAAGCGUUAAUCGGAAUUACUGGGCGUAAAGCGCGCGUAGGUGGUUCGUUAAGUUGGAUGUGAAAGCCCCGGGCUCAACCUGGGAACUGCAUCCAAAACUGGCGAGCUAAAGUACGGUAGAGGGUGGUGGAAUUUCCUGUGUAGCGGUGAAAUGCGUAGAUAUAGGAAGGAACACCAGUGGCGAAGGCGACCACCUGGACUGAUACUGACACUGAGGUGCGAAAGCGUGGGGAGCAAACAGGAUUAGAUACCCUUGUAGUCC